GUGACAGCAGCCGCGGUAAUACGUAGGGGCCUAGCGUUGUCCGGAAUCAUUGGGCGUAAAGAGCGCGUAGGCGGCCCGGUAAGUCCGCUGUAAAAGUCAAAGGCUUAACCUUUGAAAGUCAGUGGAUACUGCCGGGCUAGAGUCCGGAAGAGGCGAGUGGAACUCCUGGUGUAGCGGUGGAAUGCGCAGAUAUCAGGAAGAACACCAACGGCGAAGGCAGCUCGCUAGGACGGAACUGACGCUGAGGCGCGAAAGCGUGGGGAGCGAACAGGAUUAGAUACCCGCGUAGUCC
rnacentral:rRNA from 1 species